rnacentral:rRNA from 1 species
AACGAACGCUGGCGGCAUGCCUAACACAUGCAAGUCGAACGCGUGGCUUCGGCCACGAGUGGCGCACGGGUGAGUAACGCGUGGGAACCUGCCCAUCGGUACGGAACAACCGCGGGAAACUGCGGCUGAUACCGUAUAUACCCUGCGGGGGAAAGAUUUAUCGCCGAUGGAGGGGCCCGCGUCGGAUUAGGUAGUUGGUGGGGUAACGGCCUACCAAGCCUGCGAUCCGUAGCUGGUCUGAGAGGAUGAUCAGCCACACUGGGACUGAGACACGGCCCAGACUCCUACGGGAGGCAGCAGUGGGGAAUAUUGGACAAAUGGGGGCAACCCUGAUCCAGCAAUGCCGCGUGAGUGAAGAAGGCCUUAGGGUUGUAAAGCUCUUUCGGCGGGGACGAUGAUGACGGUACCCGCAGAAGAAG